AAUAAUGUUUAGUCUAGAAGACUAGAACAAGAAAAAGCACACAGUGCAAGAAACUAGUGGAGAGACUGGUAUCCAGUGGAAUAUCAGCAAAAGAAAUGCAUUUCCCAGAUAGGAGUGCACCAGUUACUGGGACGGUCAGAUUGAUAAUUACUUGAAGAAUAAUUUAAACAUGGACGAUCAUGUCAUUCAUUUAUUGUUCUCAGCCAAUCGAUGGGAGCUGGAGGCUGGAAUGUGUUGAGAUUUGAAGUCAGGUACAACACUAGUUAUUGACAGAUAUGCUUAUUCAGGUGUCGCUUUUACAGCUGCUAAAAAGGUAAUGUACAUGU